rnacentral:rRNA from 1 species
GCCUCGCAAGAGGAGCGGCAGACGGGUGAGUAACGCGUGGGAAUCUACCGUACCCUACGGAAUAGCUCCGGGAAACUGGAAUUAAUACCGUAUACGCCCUUUGGGGGAAAGAUUUAUCGGGGUAUGAUGAGCCCGCGUUGGAUUAGCUAGUUGGUGGGGUAAAGGCCUACCAAGGCGACGAUCCAUAGCUGGUCUGAGAGGAUGAUCAGCCACAUUGGGACUGAGACACGGCCCAAACUCCUACGGGAGGCAGCAGUGGGGAAUAUUGGACAAUGGGCGCAAGCCUGAUCCAGCCAUGCCGCGUGAGUGAUGAAGGUCUUAGGAUUGUAAAGCUCUUUCACCGAUGAAGAUAAUGACGGUAGUCGGAGAAGAAGCCCCGGCUAACUUCGUGCCAGCAGCCGCGGUAAUACGAAGGGGGCUAGCGUUGUUCGGAAUUACUGGGCGUAAAGCGCACGUAGGCGGAUAAUUAAGUCAGGGGUGAAAUCCCGCAGCUCAACUGCGGAACUGCCUUUGAUACUGGUUAUCUUGAGUAUGGAAGAGGUAAGUGGAAUUGCGAGUGUAGAGGUGAAAUUCGUAGAUAUUCGCAGGAACACCAGUGGCGAAGGCGGCUUACUGGUCCAUUACUGAC